rnacentral:rRNA from 1 species
GACGAACGCUGGCGGCGUGCUUAACACAUGCAAGUCGAACGGAAAGGCCCUGCUUGCAGGGUACUCGAGUGGCGAACGGGUGAGUAACACGUGGGUGAUCUGCCCUGCACUUCGGGAUAAGCCUGGGAAACUGGGUCUAAUACCGGAUAGGAGCCAUUUUUAGUGUGAUGGUUGGAAAGUUUUUUCGGUGUAGGAUGAGCUCGCGGCCUAUCAGCUUGUUGGUGGGGUAAUGGCCUACCAAGGCGGCGACGGGUAGCCGGCCUGAGAGGGUGGACGGCCACAUUGGGACUGAGAUGCGGCCCAGACUCCUACGGGAGGAAGCAGUGGGGAAUAUUGCACAAUGGGCGCAAGCCUGAUGCAGCGACGCCGCGGGGGGGAUGACGGCCUUCGGGUUGUAAACUCCUUUCGCUAGGGACGAAGCUUUUUGUGACGGUACCUAGAUAAGAAGCACCGGCUAACUACGUG